rnacentral:rRNA from 1 species
CCCUUGAAGACGACGAGGUAGAUAGGGCGGAGGUGGAAGUGCAGCAAUGCAUGGAGCUGACCGUUACUAAUAGGUCGAGGGCAUAACCAG